rnacentral:precursor_RNA from 15 species
AUCCUGCCACCAUGCUCUCCAUAUUCCCCCGUUGUACUAGGUGCUCCAUUUUCUAGAUUUUAUGAAACGUUGCAUCUUGUACAAUAGUGGCUAUUGGAGAAGUCUCUUCCAACCUGA